GCCUGGCUAGCUAAGUCGGUAGAGCAUGAAACUCUUCAUUUCAGGGUUGUGGGUUCGAGCCCCACGUUGGGCA